UGAACCAGAAGAAGAGGUGGUGAGUCCCCGACACAGCAGGAUCAGGCUGCACCAUUCCCAGGGGAUAACACCUUGCAGAGCUGGGCAGCGCUGUCACCCACCCACCAAACCCCGCAACAUCAGCGCUUCCCUUCCCCGCCAGUACCUGCCUUUUAUCCUGAUUCCCUAAAUAAAGAAUAUGGAACAGGCCUGCUGCUGCUAUGAAUCUUCCCUGGGAAAUCACUAAUGUUUGAUCUCAAGAUAAAGGAAAUUUAAGAGGUACUCAGACAGCACCUGAAUGACUGAAAGGGACUGAUCACUGGCAUUCCUGAGGAAUUCAAGGUUUCCAGAUUGUCCCAGAUCUGCCCACAUUUGCCCUCAUCAGUGGACAGCUUUGCCUAGGGAUUCCUAGCUGUAGGACCAGUUUCUCACCGGCUCCAAAUCCAGGAAGAAGAUAUACAAACAACUGAAUUAAGACCAGAACAUUAAGAAGACUUAAACCCUACAGACAAUUGCAAAUCUGGAACUGGCAGCUAAUCUGUGGCGUUCUGCAGAACGAAUCUCAAAUGGAGCCACAUCUGCUGCAGGAGAACUGCUUGUGGGGAAUGUGAAGACCAUUUGUCGGGGAGACUGAGGUAGUAGCCAUGUCCUGAUGGUGCAGCUGAUGGAAAGG